AUUGAACGCUGGCGGCAGGCCUAACACAUGCAAGUCGAACGAGCGGCGGACGGGUGAGUAAUAUCUGGGAAACUGCCCGAUGGAGGGGGAUAACUACUGGAAACGGUAGCUAAUACCGCAUACCAUCAGAUGUGCCCAUAUGGGAUUAGCUUGUUGGUGGGGUAACGGCUCACCAAGGCGACGAUCCCUAGCUGGUCUGAGAGGAUGACCAGCAACACUGGAACGUAGACACGGCCCAGACUCCUACGGGAGGCAGCAGGGGGGAAUAUUGCACAAUGGGCGCAAGCCUGAUGCAGCCAUGCCGCGUGUAUGAAGAAGGCCUUAGGGUUGUAAAGUACUUUCAGCGGGGAGGCGUUACCCGCAGAAGAAGCACCGGCUAACUCCGUGCCAGCAGCCGCGGUAAUAC
rnacentral:rRNA from 1 species